rnacentral:SRP_RNA from 1 species
GCCAGGCAUGGUGGCGUGUGCCUGUAGUCUCAGCUACUCGAGAGGCUGAGGCAGGAGAAUUGCUUGAACCCAGGAGGUGGAGGUUGCAGUGAGCUGAGAUCGCACUACUGCACUCCAGCCUGGGUGACAGAGCAAGACUCUGUCUCAA